rnacentral:snRNA from 1 species
GUGCUCACUUCGGUAGCACAUACACUGAAAUUGAA